AAUAUUGCGCAAUGGGGGAAACCCUGACGCAGCAAUACCGCGUGAGUGAAGAAGGAUUUCGGAUCGUACAACUCUUUUAUUGGGGAAGAAGAAGUGAUGGUACCCAAUGAAGACGUCCCGGCUAACUACGUGCCAGCAGCCGCGGUAAUACGUAGGGGACAAGCGUUGUCCGGAAUCACUGGGCGUAAAGGGCGCGUAGGCGGUUUUAUAAGUCAGAUGUGAAAGGUACCGGCUCAACCGGUGACGUGCAUUUGAAACUGUAAGACUUGAGUACUGGAGAGGCAAGUGGAAUUCCUAGUGUAGCGGUGAAAUGCGUAGAUAUUAGGAGGAACACCGGUGGCGAAGGCGGCUUGCUGGACAGAUACUGACGCUGAGGUGCGAAAGCGUGGGGAGCGAACAG
rnacentral:rRNA from 1 species